rnacentral:rRNA from 1 species
GUCUACUGCCAUACUACCCUGAAUGCGCCUGAUCUCAUGUGAUCUCAAAAGCUAGGCAGGGUCAGGCCCAGUUAGUACUGUCCAGGCACGGUGGCUC